GGACGAAUGGGGUGAAUCGAGAGGAGCAUGCCGCGUGCAGGACGAAGGCCUUCGGGUUGUAAACUGCUUUUGUACAGAACGAAAAGCCUUGGGUGAAUACCCUGAGGACAUGACGGUACUGUAAGAAUAAGCACCGGCUAACUACGUGCCAGCAGCCGCGGUAAU
rnacentral:rRNA from 1 species